UUACGGCUAUAUCAUGUCGAAACCCCGGUUCACGUACGGUCACUGAAGUUAAGCAAUGUCGAGCUUGGUCAGUACCUAGAUGGGUGACCGCUUGAGAAUACU